CAGCAGCUCCAACCCGACGAGUAGUUCUGCGCCCGGGGGGGCACUGCCAGGAGGGGCCACGGCAGCAGCCGCAGCAGCAUCAAGUCAAGGAAUGGAGGUAGGGGGAAAGAAGAAG
rnacentral:ribozyme from 1 species